GCUCUCUCUCUCAGCCAAGUGGAGUCCCUACAAAACGUGGUGCACAACUGGAGACAGGACAAAGAUUUCACCUGAUACCACGUGACGACGAGCUCAAGCACACGCAUUUUAAAACAGAAGAAAGGAAAAAUGGACACCAAGCAGACGUGACCGCAGAUCAUCUUUACAGUUUACAAUAUGAAGAUUUACCAAGAUGAACACAAA
rnacentral:lncRNA from 1 species